rnacentral:tRNA from 1 species
AGGGGCGUCGCCAAGCGGUAAGGCAGCAGGUUUUGAUCCUGCCAUGCGUUGGUUCGCAUCCAGCCGCCCCUGCCA